rnacentral:rRNA from 1 species
AUACAGAGGGUGCGAGCGUUAAUCGGAAUUACUGGGCGUAGAGCGCGCGUAGGCGGCUUAUUAAGUCAGAUGUGAAAUCCCCGGGCUCAACCUGGGAACUGCAUCUGAUACUGGUAAGCUAGAGUUUUGGAGAGGGAAGUAGAAUUUCAGGUGUAGCGGUGAAAUGCAUAGAGAUCUGAAGGAAUACCAGUGGCGAAGGCGACUUCCUGGCCAAAAACUGACGCUGAGGUGCGAAAGCGUGGGUAGCAAACAGGAUUAGAAACCCCAGUAGUCC